rnacentral:rRNA from 1 species
CAGUAGCCGCGGUAAUACGUAGGUGGCAAGCGUUGUCCGGAAUUAUUGGGCGUAAAGGGCUCGCAGGCGGUUUCUUAAGUCUGAUGCGAAAGCCCCCGGCCCAACCGGGGAGGGUCAUUGGAAACUGGGAAACUUGAGUGCAGAAGAGGAGAGUGGAAUUCCACGUGUAGCGGUGAAAUGCGUAGAGAUGUGGAGGAACACCAGUGGCGAAGGCGACCCUCUGGUCUGUAACUGACGCUGAGGAGCGAAAGCGUGGGGAGCGAACAGGAUUAGAUACCCGAGUAGUCCCUGUCUCUUAUAC